GGGGGAUAUUGCACAAUGGGGGAAACCCUGAUGCAGCGACGCCGCGUGUAGGAAGACGGUUCUCUGGAUUGUAAACUACUGUCUUCGGGGACGAUAAUGACGGUACCCGAGGAGGAAGCCACGGCUAACUACGUGCCAGCAGCCGCGGUAAUACGUAGGUGGCAAGCGUUGUCCGGAUUUACUGGGCGUAAGGGAGCGUAGGCGGAUACUUAAGUGGGAUGUGAAAUACCUGGGCUUAACUUGGGUGCUGCAUUCCAAACUGGGUGUCUAGAGUGUUGGACAGGAAAGUGGAAUUCCUAGUGUAGCGGUGAAAUGCGUAGAGAUUAGGAAGAACACCAGUGGCGAAGGCGACUUUCUGGACAAUAACUGACGCUGAGGCUCGAAAGCGUGGGGAGCAAAC
rnacentral:rRNA from 1 species